rnacentral:rRNA from 1 species
UACGGAGGAUGCAAGCGUUAUCCGGAAUGAUUGGGCGUAAAGGGCGCGUAGGCGGUCAGCACAAGUCAGUUGUGAAAUCUCCGGGCUUAACUCGGAAAGGUCAACUGAUACUGUGCGACUAGAGUGCGGAAGGGGCAACUGGAAUUCUCGGUGUAGCGGUGAAAUGCGUAGAUAUCGAGAGGAACACCUGCGGCGAAGGCGGGUUGCUGGGCCGACACUGACGCUGAUGCGCGAAAGCCAGGGGAGCGAACGGG